CACCCAUUGCUCUCAUGUGAGAAAAGAAAUUUUCCAAUACAUCUUGAUUCAAGCGAUGGGUCAAAAUAUAUUCCAGAUUGUAUUGUUCUUUGAGGUGCAAAAACAACUUUUCUAGAGAGCUAUUGCUAACAAUAAUCCCUUUUUGAAAUGUUUCAGUCAUUUUAGAUAAAAGUUGUUGCUGCUUCUGGAGAUCUAAACCAUAGCCGACAACGCCAGUGCGCGAAUAUUUAGAAUUGGUAUUAAAUAGAUCAAACCAGUCAUUAACUAACUCGACAAAGUUGGCAAGUAAAUUAAAAUUCGGAUCAUUAAUUAAAUUAUUCUCCCCACAGUACUUAAUGACAUUUGCUGUGGUGCGAGAAAAUAAUUUAGCCGCCCAUUUCACUUUUUGGCGUUGAGAACGCUUAACAUCUAUUAGGUGUUGGGUAAUUUUAUGACCCAUUUUUAAAUCAGAUGUUUCACCCAGAGCUAAAAAUUGUUCAACCGCGCUCUUUGUCAAGGUUGAAUUUUCGAAAAUAAAUCCAUGAUCUAAAAAAUGGUUCCUUAUCAGUUUUAAAAGAUGUGGAACAUCUGCAAAAACAUAAAUGAGCUUUGUUUCAUCACUAGGAUGGCUAAAACUUGUGUUGCUGGUAUUGAUAUUCAAACAUUUCCAUAGUCUCAUGUUGGUCGUACCCAUAUCGCUUACUAUGGCAGUCACUGUGUACCCACUGUGGUACAACUGUUUUAAUGAAUUAUGUAAUAAUUCUUUGGUAACAGGAGUAUCAAAAUUAUAAAAUAUAGGUUGCUUCCAAUUGGAACACAAACCCCGGGCCAUUAUUACUUGGACUGCCUUGUGCGGCCCAAAAACUUGUUCCUUUGUUUUUAGAAAACAAAUUUGUUUAUUCACAAACAUUUCAUCGAAUGAUAAGACAGUGAGUCUUUCUAAAACUGUUAAGUUUUUGGCUUGUUUCUCCAUGAGAAGAGCCACGUUUUUUAGCAAACCUGGACUUAUAUCAAAAGUAUGGGCCCAUCGUCUGAGAGUUCUCAGAUCAGGGAAUGGAAACUUGCAGGUUUGCCUCAAAUAUCGAUAAGCUUUUGGACUCACACUUCUUAAAGAAAUUGCUGAUGCUAUGUCAUCGGACGACCAACAGACACGUUUCUGUUUAAUUAGGCGCCGUAUCUGACCAGGGGUAAACAGUUUUUUUGAAGCUGUACCAAUCGUCACUAAAUCAUUUUUUUCAUUUAAUUUCUUUACGAGUCGUCUAUUUUCCUCUUCAAUUUUUUCAUUUUCACGCUGUAUGUCAUCAUACUUUUUCUGUAAUGCAUUAAAUUUCUUUUCCCACUCGUUUUCAUAAUUUCUUUGUUUAGUUGUAUCCUCAAAGUCAUUUAGCGGCUGAAUACCAUGUUCCGUUUCUUUUGCUACGUCUGUUACACCAAACAAAUUAACAUGACACUUUUUGCGCGCGUUGAUAUCAACUUUUCGCACUAUUUUUUCCGUUGAGCCGUUUUUAUUUGGCGUAAAAUUGUGUUCGACAGACACUUCCACUUGAUCCGAACUUCCACAAAAUCCACUUUUAUUUGGAGAUAAGGGAAUUUUAAUUGUGGGAAUUGCCGUGGACACUAACCUUCUCCUGUUCUUUGGGCUAUAGCCCAAUAUUAUCUGCUGCAUAGAUUUAUAAUUAAAUUUAUCUUCAAAAUGAAGAGAACAUAUUCGAGCUACAAAGAAAACAAAUCUGUGUGAAUAUUCCACUGUUAAAUGUAAAAUACUUAUGCUGUUACCAUUUUUUGUAUUAACAGGAGGAAUCCUACAAAAUGCUGACCACUGCUCUGAUAGAACAGGAUCCUUCGGAAAUCUAUAAAAGUGAAUUCCUUUGGAUUUCUUUUGGCUGGUGUUACAACCCAUGACUGAACAGUAAGCCAUGUUCCAAGAUUUGUAAUAAACAGGAGAUACAAUAACACAAAAACGACAAACUUAAUUCUUGCAUAUACCUGCUACCUCAACUGUCACAAUGUAGAUAUGACGUUAUAUUUUUGUUUUAAGAACGGUAUAAAGUAAAAGAACUUUUCACAAUAUGUUAAAUAAUUUAUUUCUGUCAUUAAAACAAUUCUAUUUCAUGAUGAAAA